UUGGUCUCUUCUUUUUUCUUUUGUUUUUGUGAGCUGUUGGAGGAGCUCCAAAGUUUUCAGUGCGUUCCAUCGCCUGUGUGUGUGGCUGCGGGAUUUUCUUUUCGUUCCGUUGAGGUGCUACAGUGCAGCAUCCUCUUCUUUUGUAUUGUGAUCAGCGUGGAGCCGGAAAUUAGAAGCGACAGUGGUACCGCAGUGCGGUCGUAUUUUUAGGAAGGCUUUGUGUGAUUCUAAAACGCCGACAUUGCAGUGGCGACCUGCUUGUGGUUUUGGUGCGACUACAGCCACUAGAUUUGUGGCUCCUCGUUGUUUUUUCUGCUAGUUACCCCUGCAAUACGGAGGUGCGGCAUAGGCGGAGGUGCGACGCGGGUUGCUAUGAGCGGAAUUGCUAUCGGUGCAAUUUUGUCCACAACAACUAGGCGGUGGAUUCUCUAGUUCUUGGUGUAGAUGCGGCAUCCAGUGCGAAAGGCGGCGUGGUGCCCUUGCAUAUUGGCUUCAGUCCUUAUUGACACAGCGCAAGACGUGAAUAUUCAAGCUCAAUCGAGUGAACUGCACGAGACGAAUCAUCUCUAGACGUGAUAGAGGAUUUCGUAUUGAUCGGCUUUGCAAUAAUUCUAUUUGAUAGUUUGAUGCUUGAGGCGAAGUUGUGGCGGUAGCUUAAAGAGCAGCUUUAUGGAUUCUUUGAAUUUCCUAUCUGGCCAACUUUCUCAGAGGGUACCUUGACUCCUUUAUCCAUCCGACGGCGAGGAAUCCAGCUUCUGGCAAUCAGGGCUCUAUUGUUUCCACCUCAUGGCAAGAGAGCUGUAGGCGGCGAUUUGUUUUUUCUUCCAUUAUGGGGGUGAACAGGCAAAGUGGUGCAGUUCGGCUGGAGCAAACCAAACCAGCAUUAGAGGCAACGGUUUUACAUGUGCCAAUAGCUUCGAAGGUGGCUUCUAAUUAAAGUUCAAAAGGCAGUUUUUAUCUACUCCACAUGUUGUGAGUGCAUAUCUUAAUUAGAAUUGAUUACUAAGAAAACUUCACUUGUGGAUUGGACUUCAUCUGGUGAAUAAAUUUGUGGUUGAGAUAUUUAAUUGUAA